rnacentral:rRNA from 1 species
GACGAACCGUCCUAACGUUGUUCGGAAUCACUGGGCUUAAAGGGCGCGUAGGCGGGUUCCCAAGUCGGUGGUAAAAUCUUUCGGCCCAACCGGAAAACAGCCGCCGAUACUGGGAGUCUUGAGGGAGGUAGGGGUCGAUGGAACUUCCGGUGGAGCGGUGAAAUGCGUAGAUAUCGGAAGGAACGCCGGUGGCGAAAGCGAUCGACUGGACCUUUUCUGACGCUGAGGCGCGAAAGCCAGGGGAGCAAACGGG